CUCUCCCUUCCUCUGGGUCGGCGGCCGCACCUUCGCCGUGGCCCCCGAUUCCCUUUGCCAUCGAUGGUCCUCAUCCUCCUUGGUCGCGGCGUCAAUCGAAAUCGAAAAUAUCUCCGCCCAGGCCCAGUACCAACGAAGAGAGGAAGGGCAAAGCCGUCGUCAGUGUCGCGUUUUGUUGCUCGUCGUCGUUCACGGAUUCUAGGUGGAUCUGAUUUCUUACACGAGGAAGACAAGAGCCGUGAUUGCCGCGUGCGCCUGCACAAUUCAAGUGGAUCGGUUAAAUUUUGAAACUGUAUCGGCUUCUCCACCAGCAAACAAUGAGAGAAAAACUAGGCGAGCUACCAACCAAAUGCACGCCAACAUUUUUUCGAUUCUUCCCGGGGCGCUAGUGCUUGCCUGACAAUCAGAAGAUGCAGAAGUUGCAGACAGAUUGGGUCACACAUUCUUUCUUCUUAAUCUGCAUAAAGUUCUGCUUCAAGUACAUAAUCAGGUACUAGUGCAACAGCUACUCAGCUGAUUUGAAGCAAACGGAUGCCUACAUUCUACGUACAUUACAGGUCUUAUGCUUACAGUUACACAUUUCAAGUGAAGAGCCACGAUUGCUGCAUGCAUCUGCACAUUUCAAGUGGAUUGCAGAUGGACACAUCCUCUACGCGAGCAGAGGAACUUGUCAGCAUACUGGCUUCUUCACCAGCAAACAGCGGGAGAAACUACGCGAGCUACCAACCAAAUACAUGCCAACAUACAGCUGAAAACAAUGUCGAUUCUUCACUAAUGCUUGUCUGGCAAUCAGGAGAUGCAGACAGAUUGUGGAUCACACAUUCUUAAUCUGCACAAGGUUCUGCUUCAAGUACAUCGUCAGCCAUUACUGCAAGAGCUACUCAGCUAGUUUGAAGCAACGGAUGCUCUACAUUACAGCUGUGGCCCCGGGCAAGAAUUGUACCAAUUGUUUCUCUGUAAAUACAAGUAAAGAAGGUUCACUAUAAAUAACAGUAUGUGAUGAGCAUGUCAAAGGUUGCAUAGUGGAGUCCUCUCGAUAUAUACUAUUCACAACAAUGUGCGUGCUAGAACACCAUUACCGCACGGUUCAUGGCAAGCUGCUUACGUGAGUCUGAACCCCGUUCCCCUGAAUCUGUCGGGAUUUGUGGGGUUAAUGGAACCAAUGUUUGUCAUUAUAAGUUAUGAAAGGCUAUUAUUGUACCCAACUUGUUUAAUGCAGCAAUGUGCGAUGCUAGAACACCAUUAUCAUUAGUGGUGAGAUGUUAUUCUCUACCAGUUGGUAGAAGAUCGAACUCAUAGGCAGAAACGUUGAUGACCAAGAGAGCAAUAAGACGGAAUUGUUUCGAUCAAGCGGUGUAAAUACUGAUCAUGCACUCAAUCAAACCUACUCAGUUCAUCUUAAACUGGGAAAUAAAGAUAAUCUUUUCAUGCA